rnacentral:lncRNA from 1 species
GGCUUGCAAAUGCUCACAAGUGAAAGGUAGGGAAAGAGGCAGGGGAGGAGGGCUGAUUUCCAAAGGAAGUAUUUUACUUGAAAAAUGUUACAGCAUUUUCUAAAAUGAGUAAUGAAAAGGCAGACCAACAUAUCUUUAAAUUAUAGGCUUCUCUGAAAUGCAAAAGGGAAAUUUUUGUGUGAUAGGUAAUGGAAGGUAAUACAUGAACAUCGAUUCCUUCAAUGUUGCAGUUACUCUAAUAGCAUACUUACAGACCCAAGUAUAUGUUGCCGUGAUGAAUUGUUUUGGGCUGAGUUUCUCAGUUUCUGGCAAUAUUUGCCUCUUUCUUCUUACUUCCUCUUCUGCAGUUUCAGCUCUAAUCGGACUCUGGAAACUUUAUUUCCUCUCCUUCUCCUGGGGCCUCCUGCUGCUGUUGGUGGUCCAUGGGUUCCUUUAUACCUCCCAUGCCCUGCUCUGUCCACACACUCCAUAGUCCUUCAUGAGAAGUCUUCAAUCACCUGAACAGACUUCCCCUUCCCCUUUUCUUUCUGGCUAAGAUUUGCCAUAGAUUCUCCAAGUGUCAUUUUCAGGUUAUUAUGUAAAGCAACUCUAGCUGUCAAAUCAUGGGUGGCUUUAAUGAAAGAAAUAUAAAGGAAGAAAUAAAAUCACCAAUGAAGGAUAUUAGAAUUGGUGCAUACAUUUUUCUAUGAAUUUAGAGAUAAACAAAAUGCUACCUACUUACAUCAGUAUCAUUCCCUUUCUGCUGUGGAAUAAAAUCUCCUUCUCUAAUGGUGAGUACUCAGGAAAACAAAACAAAAAAGCCAAAGAGAAGAAAACCCACCAGUGCUUGGCAUGGCAUUUGGCACUAGACCUGAGGGCAUGCGCUCUGUAAGUUUGACACCUUCUGAAUCAUAGUAGUGUCCCCAACUCAGCUUGACUGUGAGCAGGGUCUAUAUAGCCACCUUUGGUCCUCCCAGGGAAUAAAUUAAAUCUGCAUCUUGACUGUGUUGCCUGGAAGAAACUGUUCAAUUAUUUAUAGAGCAAUAGCAGGGAGUUGCUCUUUGUGAGUUGGGGGGUGGGGGAAGGGGUAUAUUCUGCCUCUUGUCUCCUCCAGGCCAGUGAGUUAGUAAGUCCAGCAAUGUCUGGAGAAAAUAACAAGGCUUGAGGCAACCAAGAUAUAUUAACACAAAAGAGGCAGUAAGUCACUCUUUUCUACUCAGAGACUGUUCUCGGGCCAGUGUGGCUCUGUGCUCUGGUUUUGCCUGGAAUAAGGCAGAGAGAAGCUGUCCCUGAUGGGGGCAGCUGGGCAGGUUGUGGGUUAAGGUCUGCAUGGAUUUAAGGUUGAAGUUUAAAGAAGUGGAAAUAAGAAGAAACUCAAGACUUAGUAAGUAGAGAUUUUACUAAUUGGAAACUUUGGCUUCUGUGUUUUGGUUAGUUCAUGGACUCAGUUUCCUACGAGCUUUAUGUUGAGAAUCAGAGGACACUGGUCCUCUCAGGGCUGGUCAGGGAUAAAUUCCUUAAGGUUUUCCAGUUACUUUUUGGUGUUUUGGAAAUCACUGAAGCACAGAGUUACACAGAGCGCCUCGGAGACAUUUUCAUUAGGGCAAGUCUUUCCUAGGAAGAUAGACUUCUUGUACUCUGAUGUCCAAACUGCUUUAGCAUGGGAAAAAAAAAAACAAAAACAAAAAACUACUGUACACUUAUAGACAAAACUUAAACACAUAUAUCUUGAGACAUGCCUUACAUGUACAUGUCCGGGCAAAAUUAUCUCAAUAACUGAUAGCUGAUUUUAUAAAAGACCAUCAUUAUCAAAUAAGACAUGGUGAAAGAAUACUCAGUUGGGAAGAGGGCUGUAGAAAUAGUGAAUAGCACAUUGAAAGAAAGAUGGAAGAGACCAAAGAGUGCUGACUUUGUCAUUUCCCCAGAAAUCAGCACUUACAAAAGUGCUAGGUUUGGGAUCUUACCUAGUACUGAAGUUAGUAUAUAAAAAAUGUAGUGUAAGAAGACCAACCCACACAUUUGCUAGCAAUGAAUCAUAAAUUUUUUCCUUCUCCUGCCAUAUUUCAACUUUUUAGAAGUAUAAUAUAUGUAGAAAAAAGUAUACAUAUCUAUAUCUAUCUAUCUAUCUAUCUAUCUAUCUAUCUAUCUAUCUAUGUGAUAAAUCCAUUGAUGGCUAUACUUAUUUUUUUUAACAACAUAGAACUUGCUCACAGGUUAAGGCACGAAAGGGGCCAGUAGGAAGGAAGCAGAUGAAAAUUAGGAGAGCUUCAGUACUGUGACAGAUCGUUAGCCCCAAAGACGGCUGCAAUAUCUCCCAUCCCAUCUGUUCUUCUGCAAUGUGACCUUUCUACUCUUCCAUCAAGGGCUAGAGUUUAUUUCUCCACCCACUUGCAUCUGGGUGGGCUCUGUAAGUGCUUUGACCAACAGAAUAUAAUAGACCUGAUACUUUGCCUUUUCUGGGCACAAAUUUUAACUGGCUUGGUAGCUUCUUCCUUUCUCUUGGAAUAUUUACUCUUGGAUGGUCUCUCUCAGAGCCCACCCCCAGUCUGUAAUAAGCUCAAGUCACAUGGAGGGGCCACAGUAGGUACUUUAAUCACAUCUUACAGAAUCGAUACUAACUGAAAGUUGAACUUUCAGUUAGUAUCAAUUCUGUAAGUGUGCCAUCUUGGAUAUCUGAGCUCAAUCAAGAACUCAGAUAACUACAGUUCCAGAUAACAUCCAAAAUAAAUUGCUUGAGUGAAAACUAUGAGAAAUGCCCAUAUGAACCCAAUCAACUCAUAGUACUAUGAAAGAUGAAAGUAAAUUGUUGCUUUAAAGUCAGUAAUUUUGGGACUGGUAUGAUAACCAAGACCAAAUAAUUAUAGGUACCAGAACACAGAUGCUGGGAUUUGUUUUUGACAGGUGGAAUGUAGAAAAGACAGUAGAAUAAGUGAGAUUAUAUAGCUAUUUUCAGAUUGACUGGGUGAGAAAGUAGAGGUAAAUAUUGGAAACAAUAUCAUUUGGUAAAAAAAAAAAAGAGGAGGAAAAAGGGAUAGUGAGUUUAAAAAGGGGAUAAAUAUUUGGAAUAUCAGAUACGUGGUAAUGUAGAAAGAAUCCAGCAAAGGGGUCACUGACAAACUUGAAGUCCAUGCUGAGGUCAUAAGCUAUAAACUUGAAGAAUGCCAUCUGUGUGGGGUUGGGAUUUUUCUCCAUCUGUGUUCAUUUUUCCAGGUCAGGAGAACAGAAAGCUCAUGACUGGAUUGAUCUUUGAUUUCAGGAGUAAAAAGUAGGUGCAGGAAGAAAAGAGAGCAAGACAGCUGUGGUUCUGGUAGGUAGAACUGAAGUGAUGGCCCAUGGGUUUUAGCCUGUUCAAGGAAAGGAAAUGAAGGUAGGAGAAACCUGAGAAAAUAAAUAAAAUAAAGGAAGAUGCAGAAACGUAAAAUCAAUGAGAUUAGCCGUUUGAGAGAAGAGAUUGAUAAAACUGAAUAGGUUAUAAUGAUUUCUUCGAUAUGUUUGUAUCUUUUUAUAACAUCACCAGUAAUAAGAGUUUUACCUAUAAAAUAUUUGGAGAUUAUAUUUAAAGACCAGUUAGUGCUUGCAUUUGUCAGGAAUUUGUAAAAUCCCUGGUUGGGAAGAUGGCUCACUGUCAGAGUUAGACUGAGGUUUAUUUGCCCACCGUCAAUGUUAAGCUGGGGCUAGCUAUGGGAAAGCCAGUGAUGUGCUGUUGGUAGCUUGAAACUGGCCUUGGUGGGUGUAUUUACACCACAGAAAUCUGCAGAUGCCACAAAUUGGGGCUUUUCCUCCCCACCUUGAGUAGGUUGUUAAAUAUUUACCAGCAGACCACCAUCACACCUUCCCUAGUCUCAGCUCACCACAAGAAACAGAAUUUAAUUUUAUCCAUUUCUUAUCAGUGUAGACAAUUAAUUUAUGCCGCUUUUUGCAUAAUUGUUCCCAAAGGACAGGAGAAGAAGAUUAUUUCGCCAUACUUUUAUUAGCUGCAUGAAGCACAAUUGCAGGAUUCAAGUUAAGUGAUUUAUUACAUGUGAAGACUCACAUCCUCCUCUUCCUUGUGCCAGAACAUUCCAAGACUGAAGGAAACAGGCAACAGAAUGAGCUGGGAUAAGCACUGUUGAGCCACGUGAAGACUUAGGCCCUCUCCAGACGUAUGGAAUUAAAGAAAAGGAUUAGCUGUGAUGUGAUUAUUUUAAGAGGGAAAAGCUGGCGCACUUUGAUCUCGCUUCUCAGUGAACUUGUGGCAGAGAAAUGGAAGUCGGGGACCGGCUGUCCCUGGGCUCAUGUGAACACCCCCACUUAUGCUGCUUAAAAGCCACAGAACUGGGAACUCACCCCCAAAGGUUCACCUUCCUGCUGCCUUUGGCUGAUAAACACUACGAUGCAGGUACUGAAAAGCAUGGUAAAUAAAUCUAUCACUUAAAAAAAUUAAUUAACCUCUCAAUUCGUCCAGUAGUAUGGCUGGUACACCACAAUCUAGGGGCCCAAACAGGCGUCUCCUCCCAUUUCAUCUUUUCUUUUUUUUCCCCUGUUCAGUUUUCAAAUACUCUCUGGAUUCUUCUUUCCGCCUUAUUUUGCUUUAGGAUAGUAACAAAAAUGAAUGAAUUAUCACAACAAAGGAAAAGGUUUCUGGGAAUAUGAAUGAAAACAUAAUCCUCAGAGGAUUUCCACCUAGUGGGUUUGAAAUAAGACAAAAAUUGCAUUGGUGAGGCAAAGGAAACCUGAGAAUUUUGAGCUAUUAUUUAGUAUACUAAACUAUAUUAAUAUUUUUUUCCACUCAGGCAAUAAAAACUGAUUGAGUAUGGCUUAGCUAUGACUAUGAGGGUAAUAAAGCUCUUUGUGACUCACUUUCAGAAUUGCAAUACUGACUUGAAAAUUUUCAUUAAAAUUAGAAGCAUUUUAGUUUGCUCUGUUCCUAUUAAACAGGAACAUAUCAAUGUAUUUUAUUUGGGGGAAAAUUAAAAAAGAUGAAUAUGUAAUAACUGAUGUUGAAUUGCAGGGUGGUAUUUUGGAAAGAGAAAACAACAACAACAACAAAAAUGUUAAUGAAACUUCCACACCACUUGAAUCCUGUGCCACGGACACUCUUUAUCCAGGUGGCUUCCAAGGUAAUCCCAGUAGGCAUUUGUAGGUGCCAUGUGAGUCAUUAGACAGCUUCUUUCCACGGUUUUCCU